UCCUGGAGCCGUUUCCCCCUCCGUCAGCGCUCGUCGCCGCGCGCCCAUGGCGCACUAUGGCCGAUCGAGCUUUAAUGGCGCCGUGGCCGCUUCUCCUCUGCACCCUCGGUCCCCUUACCCUGUGCGUCUCAUAGCUCGUCCGUUGCCUCCCUCGUCGCCUUCUCGCACCAUCCCGUGCUCGCUGGCCGUCGCCAGAGCCUCGGCCGGAUGUGCCCGGCGGCACCCGAGCCCAUCCCUCUCGCCCCGUCUAUAAAUAGCCCUCCCUGCGGCCUCCCGAGCACACCACUCGCCUCCCCUCACUCCUCUGGUCCUGCCUAGCCACUAGCCCGAGCUCGGGAAGCCCUCUUCGCCUCUGUUGGUCACCAUGGCCGCCGCCCUCCUCUACCUAAAUUGGCUCGGGCCAAGCCCUCCCUCUCCUCUUCUCCACCACCAGGCGACUCCCCUAUGUCCCGCGAGUCUUCCCCACCCCUCGGUUUCUCGCCGGAGGCCCUGUGGCCGCGCCUCCAUAGAACGGCCGCCGCCGGCCGUACUCUCUGUUGCCUCCAGCCGCAGCCGCCCUAGCUCUCCCCGGUGCCCGUGUCCUCUCUGGAUGGAAGCGACAUGGCCUCCAGAGCCCACCGGUGGCUUCGCCCUCACCGGAGACGGCCGGAGCCGGCCAAGCUCGUCGCCAUUUGCCCCUCCCCUGCCUCGCCUCUGCUUCUGGCCGGGGGAGCGGGGGAAGAAGACGACCGAGCCAGGCAAGGUGGGCCCCGCGUCGCCUCGACCCCACCAGUCAGCCUAAUAGGGUGUUGACCCCGGUGCCGACGUGGAUAAGUGACGGGCCCCACUCCACGGGACCCGCACGCAAGCGACCUCAAGCCCGGGCCCCGCCACUGUCCACGUGGAUAAGUGGAAGCGUACUUCCAAGGAGUACGUUUUCGCCUUCAGAAAGCGUAUUUCUCUUCUACUCCAGCCAGAUUCUUUUACAGAUCGGUCCCUGAACUUCGUCGGGCUAUAACUUUUUGCUCGAGACUCCAAAUGAGCCCCUCCGAAAGAGAACUGUUUCCGGCAAAUCUUUUCGCGGCUUCACCGCACUUCUUCCCGGUGCCUUCUUCAUCCCCAG